rnacentral:rRNA from 1 species
GGCGGGACACGUGGUAUCCUGUCUGAAUAUGGGGGGACCAUCCUCCAAGGCUAAAUACUCCUGACUGACCGAUAGUGAACCAGUACCGUGAGGGAAAGGCGAAAAGAACCCCGGCGAGGGGAGUGAAAAAGAACCUGAAACCGUGUACGUACAAGCAGUGGGAGCCCCACCACUAAGCCAGUGGUGAACUCCACAUACGCAUCCUUUGCUGAGGAUACGGUUAACGGAGCGAAAGCGACGUUCAACCGCAAAAGAAGCAGAGGGGGCUUAGUGGUGGGGUGACUGCGUACCUUUUGUAUAAUGGGUCAGCGACUUAUAUUCUGUAGCAAGGUUAACCGUAUAGGGGAGCCGGAGGGAAACCGAGUCUUAAUUGGGCGUUAAGUUGCAGGGUAUAGACCCGAAACCCGGUGAUCUAGCCAUGGGCAGGUUGAAGGUUGGGUAACACUAACUGGAGGACCGAACCGACUAAUGUUGAAAAAUUAGCGGAUGACCUGUGGCUGGGGGUGAAAGGCCAAUCAAACCGGGAGAUAGCUGGUUCUCCCCGAAAGCUAUUUAGGUAGCGCCUCGUGAAUUCAUCUCCGGGGGUAGAGCACUGUUUCGGCUAGGGGGCCAUCCCGGCUUACCAACCCGAUGCAAACUGCGAAUACCGGAGAAUGUUAUCACGGGAGACACACGGCGGGUGCUAACGUCCGUCGUGAAGAGGGAAACAACCCAGACCGCCAGCUAAGGUCCCAAAGUCAUGGUUAAGUGGGAAACGAUGUGGGAAGGCCCAGACAGCCAGGAUGUUGGCUUAGAAGCAGCCAUCAUUUAAAGAAAGCGUAAUAGCUCACUGGUCGAGUCGGCCUGCGCGGAAGAUGUAACGGGGCUAAACCAUGCACCGAAGCUGCGGCAGCGACGCUGAUGCGUUGUUGGGUAGGGGAGCGUUCUGUAAGCCUGCGAAGGUGGCCUGUGAGGGUUGCUGGAGGUAUCAGAAGUGCGAAUGCUGACAUAAGUAACGAUAAAGCGGGUGAAAAGCCCGCUCGCCGGAAGACCAAGGGUUCCUGUCCAACGUUAAUCGGGGCAGGGUGAGUCGACCCCUAAGGCGAGGCCGAAAGGCGUAGUCGAUGGGAAACGGGUUAAUAUUCCCGUACUUGGUGUUACUGCGAAGGGGGGACGGAGAAGGCUAUGUUGGCCGGGCGACGGUUGUCCCGGUUUAAGCGUGUAGGUGUGUGUUCCAGGUAAAUCCGGUUCACUUUAACACUGAGGCGUGAUGACGAGGCACUACGGUGCUGAAGCAACAAAUGCCCUGCUUCCAGGAAAAGCCUCUAAGCAUCAGGUAACAUCAAAUCGUACCCCAAACCGACACAGGUGGUCAGGUAGAGAAUACCAAGGCGCUUGAGAGAACUCGGGUGAAGGAACUAGGCAAAAUGGUGCCGUAACUUCGGGAGAAGGCACGCUGACACGUAGGUGAAGUGAUUUACUCAUGGAGCUGAAGUCAGUCGAAGAUACCAGCUGGCUGCAACUGUUUAUUAAAAACACAGCACUGUGCAAACACGAAAGUGGACGUAUACGGUGUGACGCCUGCCCGGUGCCGGAAGGUUAAUUGAUGGGGUCAGCGCAAGCGAAGCUCCUGAUCGAAGCCCCGGUAAACGGCGGCCGUAACUAUAACGGUCCUAAGGUAGCGAAAUUCCUUGUCGGGUAAGUUCCGACCUGCACGAAUGGCGUAAUGAUGGCCAGGCUGUCUCCACCCGAGACUCAGUGAAAUUGAACUCGCUGUGAAGAUGCAGUGUACCCGCGGCAAGACGGAAAGACCCCGUGAACCUUUACUAUAGCUUGACACUGAACAUUGAGCCUUGAUGUGUAGGAUAGGUGGGAGGCUUUGAAGUGUGGACGCCAGUCUGCAUGGAGCCGACCUUGAAAUACCACCCUUUAAUGUUUGAUGUUCUAACGUGGACCCGUGAUCCGGGUUGCGGACAGUGUCUGGUGGGUAGUUUGACUGGGGCGGUCUCCUCCUAAAGAGUAACGGAGGAGCACGAAGGUUGGCUAAUCCUGGUCGGACAUCAGGAGGUUAGUGCAAUGGCAUAAGCCAGCUUGACUGCGAGCGUGACGGCGCGAGCAGGUGCGAAAGCAGGUCAUAGUGAUCCGGUGGUUCUGAAUGGAAGGGCCAUCGCUCAACGGAUAAAAGGUACUCCGGGGAUAACAGGCUGAUACCGCCCAAGAGUUCAUAUCGACGGCGGUGUUUGGCACCUCGAUGUCGGCUCAUCACAUCCUGGGGCUGAAGUAGGUCCCAAGGGUAUGGCUGUUCGCCAUUUAAAGUGGUACGCGAGCUGGGUUUAGAACGUCGUGAGACAGUUCGGUCCCUAUCUGCCGUGGGCGCUGGAGAACUGAGGGGGGCUGCUCCUAGUACGAGAGGACCGGAGUGGACGCAUCACUGGUGUUCGGGUUGUCAUGCCAAUGGCACUGCCCGGUAGCUAAAUGCGGAAGAGAUAAGUGCUGAAAGCAUCUAAGCACGAAACUUGCCCCGA